GCCAGACUCCUACGGGAGGCAGCAGUGGGGGAUAUUGCACAAUGGGGGGAACCCUGAUGCAGCGACGCCGCGUGGGUGAAGGAGCGUUUCGGCGCGUAAAGCCCUAUCGGCAGGGAAGAAGGAGGACGGUACCUGACUAAGAAGCCCCGGCUAACUACGUGCCAGCAGCCGCGGUAAUACGUAGGGGGCAAGCGUUAUCCGGAUUUACUGGGUGUAAAGGGGGCGCAGACGGCAGCGCAAGCCAGGAGUGAAAGCCCGGGGCCCAACCCCGGGACUGCUCUUGGAACUGCGCGGCUGGAGUGCAGGAGGGGCAGGCGGAAUUCCUGGUGUAGCGGUGAAAUGCGUAGAUAUCAGGAGGAACACCAGUGGCGAAGGCGGCUUACUGGACUGUAACUGACGUUGAGGCUCGAAAGCGUGGGGAGCAAACAGGAUUAGAUACCCCCGUAC
rnacentral:rRNA from 1 species